CCCAGACCCAGGCUGUGGAGGGUCUGUGUCCUUUUUGGGGGGAUUUUGGGGUCGGGGGGUGUUUCGGGGUCCCCUCACCACGAUUUUUGUGUCGCCCCCAGACCCAAACCGUGGGGGCCGUGUUCGCCCGGCAGCUGCUGCAGCUCGGGGGGCUCAGUGGGGGCAGGGCCGGGGUCGUCCUGAGCCGCUUCCCCACCCCCGCCAGGUCUGGGGGGGUCCCCCAUGAGGAAUCUGGGGGUCCCCAAAAGGGGGAGUGGGAGGGGAGGGUCCCGAAGGUGGGGGAUGGGGGGUGGUCGCAGUUUGGGGGUUUUUUUGGGGGGGUUUUGGGGUGGGGGUCGGCUCUCAGGGUUGUUUUUGGGGUGGGGGUCGGGUCUUGGGGGUUUUUUUGGGGUGGGGGGUUUUUGGGGUGGGGGUCCCCUGAGUUCUGUCCCCUCCCCCACAGCCUCAUGGCCGCCCUGGGCCCCCCCCAGGACCCCCAAAAGUGUCGGGAGGUGCUGAGUGGGCUGCGCUGCGGCCCCACCCAGAGGAAUUUGGGUCCCUCCCUCAGCGGAGCCCUCCUGAAGCUCUACGGGACCCCGGGGCCACUGUCCUGAGGGGACAGCCCAUUGUCACCUCCUGUCACCCCAUUGUCACCUCCUGUCACCCAUUGUCACCCCAUUGUCACCCCCCAAUAAAGCCUCUCCCCCACCA
rnacentral:lncRNA from 1 species